GCUGAAUUAGCUCAGUUGGUAGAGCAACGGCCUUGUAAACCGUAGGUCAUCUGUUCGAAUCAGAUAUUCAGCACCA
rnacentral:tRNA from 1 species